UGACGCAGCCUGCCGCGUGGAUGAUGAAGGUCUUAGGAUUGUAAAAUCCUUUCACCGGUGAAGAUAAUGACUGUAGCCGGAGAAGAAGCCCCGGCUAACUUCGUGCCAGCAGCCGCGGUAAUACGAAGGGGGCUAGCGUUGCUCGGAAUUACUGGGCGUAAAGGGAGCGUAGGCGGACAUUUAAGUCAGGGGUGAAAUCCCAGAGCUCAACUCUGGAACUGCCUUUGAUACUGGAUGUCUUGAGUGUGAGAGAGGUAUGUGGAACUCCGAGUGUAGAGGUGAAAUUCGUAGAUAUUCGGAAGAACACCAGUGGCGAAGGCGACAUACUGGCUCAUUACUGACGCUGAGGCUCGAAAGCGUGGGGAGCAAACAGGAUUAGAUACCCUGGUAGUCCACGCCGUAAACGAUGAUUGCUAGUUGUCGGGAAGCUUGCUUCUCGGUGACGCAGCUAACGCAUAAGCAAUCCGC
rnacentral:rRNA from 1 species